rnacentral:rRNA from 1 species
GAUGAACGCUGGCGGCGUGCUUAACACAUGCAAGUCGAACGAUGAAGCCCAGCUUGCUGGGUGGAUUAGUGGCGAACGGGUGAGUAACACGUGAGUAACCUGCCCUUGACUCUGGGAUAAGCCCGGGAAACUGGGUCUAAUACCGGAUAGGAGCGCCUGUCGCAUGACGGGUGUUGGAAAGAUUUUUCGGUCAUGGAUGGACUCGCGGCCUAUCAGCUUGUUGGUGAGGUAAUGGCUCACCAAGGCGACGACGGGUAGCCGGCCUGAGAGGGUGACCGGCCACACUGGGACUGAGACACGGCCCAGACUCCUACGGGAGGCAGCAGCGGGGAAUAUUGCACAAUGGGCGGAAGCCUGAUGCAGCGACGCCGCGUGAGGGAUGACGGCCCUUCGGGUUGUAAACCUCUUUUCAAGUAAGGGAAAGAAA